UAAAGAUAUCUUUCUCCUGGGCAGCCCGAAGUUCUGGUCACUUGGGCCACUGCGCUUCUGAUAGACUCACAGACUGAUGAGAGCUGGCAAAGAGAAUAGUCUCCAGCCUGUUCCACUUAAAUCAACGCUCAACAGUGGAAAUGACACAGUGCCCGCUGUGUCUGAAUCAAACUUGCCUUCCGCCAAUCUGCCUCGGAUGCAGGAAAUGAUCAUUCCGGAGAGCAAUGUGGAAAAGCAAGAUGUUAGCAAGUAUCCAUUUGCGCACUUGCAGAACUUUUCAAGAGACUUGAAAGUGGCUGCUGUCUCUCGUGCUUACCAGUCUCAAAUGAUCAACUUUGCACAUGAUUUGAGCUUGGAGAAACUGAUCGAGCACAAUUUAGAGGGUGUUCGAACCCUUUUGCAGAGGUCCUGACCCUGGAACCCCAAGAGACAGGGAACCUGAGGAACAAGGACAUAAGUGAUUUGCUACACCCACACCUGUAACCAGGACUUUGCCACCUCACGGCCUCUCAGGGUCUCUAUGCAUUCUUCAUGUCUACUCCUUCAUCCUGAAUUUGCCCCCGGGGAAGAACCCUACUCUAGCUUUUAAAUACAUGGCUCCCUCUUCUUUUCCAUUCAUGAUUCGGAACUUGUCUCCUCUGUGACAUUUCCUGGCUGCCAUAUUGGUUUUCCUCUACCCUGGACCCUGGAAUCCUGUGGCAUGUACUUUACUGCACUGACAUUUUCUGGAG